rnacentral:rRNA from 1 species
ACGUAGGGGGCGAGCGUUGUCCGGAAUUACUGGGCGGAAAGAGCACGUAGGCGGAUAUUUAAGUCAGAUGUGAAAGCCCGGGGCUCAACUCCGGAGUUGCAUUUGAAACUGGGUAUCUUGAGGGCAGGAGAGGAAAGCGGAAUUCCUGGUGUAGCGGUGAAAUGCGUAGAAAUCAGGAGGAACACCGGUGGCGAAGGCGGCUUUCUGGGCUAUUACUGACGCUGAGGCACGAAAGCGUGGGGAGCAAAUAG